AGGCAAUGACGGGUAGCCGGCCUAAGAGGGUGGUCGGCCGCACUGGGACUGAGAUACUGCCCAGACUCCUACGGGAGGCUGCAGUCGAGAAUCUUCCGCAAUGGGCGAAAGCCUGACGGAGCGACGCCGCGUGGAGGACGAAGGCCUUCGGGUUGUAAACUCCUGUCACGGAUUAAGAAUGGCUUGGUGUUAACAGCAUCAAGUUUGACGUAAGUCCGAGAGGAAGCACUGGCUAACUCUGUGCCAGCAGCCGCGGUAAUACAGAGAGUGCGAACGUUGUUCGGAAUUACUGGGCUUAAAGCGCACGUAGGCGGCUCCGCAAGUGUCGGGUGAAAUCCCACGGCUUACCCGUGGAACUGCCCGGCAGACUGCGGAGCUAGAGGAUGGUAGGGGAGAGCGG
rnacentral:rRNA from 1 species